rnacentral:rRNA from 1 species
AUACGGAGGGCGCAAGCGUUGUUCGGAAUCAUUGGGCGUAAAGCGCGUGUAGGUGGCUUGGAAAGUUGGGUGUGAAAGCCCGGGGCCCAACCCCGGAAUUGCACUCAAAACUCCCUCGCUAGAGUCCCGGAGAGGAAGGCGGAAUUCCCGGUGUAGAGGUGAAAUUCGUAGAUAUCGGGAGGAACACCAGUGGCGAAGGCGGCCUUCUGGACGGUGACUGACACUGAGACGCGAAAGCGUGGGGAGCAAACAGGAUUAGAUACCCUGGUAGUCC